GCCAUAUGAUGUAUGCGAACGGUCAUGAACUUUGUGAUGGUGACAUUUAUCUAUCACCCAGUAACUGAUGGCU